rnacentral:lncRNA from 10 species
GUAUACAUAUGUAACUAACCUGCACAUUGUGCACAUGUACCCUAAAACUUAAAGUAUAAUAAUAAAAAAAAAAGAUUCUAAAGAGGAAAAAAAAAAAAAAAAAGAAACGCCUGGGGUUUUACGCUGUCACUCCCCAGCUCUGAGUGUUUAGGUAAACUUACCCCUUUGUGCCCCUGUUUCCUCACCUGCAAAAUGGGCAUGAUAAUAGUAGCUGUUUCACAGGAUUUAUGCAAGGAUUAAAUGAAGGGAUACAUAUAAAUUCCUUACAAAAGUGCCCGACUCUCUGUAAUUGGUGGGUCUACAUAUAAGAGUGUUGUUGCUUAGCACAAUGCCUGUCAUAUGAGAAAUGUUCCAUAAUGUGAGCGAUUACUUUGCUUAAUUUAUUCUCCCCCAACUUUUUUUAGAGUACUUUUGGUGGAACGUUAAAAGUGAUGCCAGAUACAUUUUAUUGACAUGCUUAAGUAAGCUCAAUUAAUAUGUAUAUAAUUUAUUGCCUCUGCCAUGCCUAUAAUCUAAUUGUUCUUUUAAAGGAUGCUGAGGCGGGUGGAUCACGAGGCCAGGAGAUCGAGACCAUCCUGGCUAACACGGUGAAACCCCAUCUCUACUAAAAAUACAAAAAAUUAGCCGGGCGUGGUGGCGGGCGCCUGUAGUCCCAGCUACUCGGGAAGCUGAGGCAGGAGAAUGGCGUGAACCUGGGAGGCGGAGCUUGCAGUGGGCUGAGAUCGUGCCUCUGCACUCCAGCCUGGGCGACAGAGCAAGACUCCGUCUCAAAAAAAAAACAAACAACAAGAAACAAAAAAAAAACUUAUAACUUCAUCUUCUAAUAACUAUAUAACAUUUCAGGAACUAUCUUUAGGAUUAAGGUGUUAUAAAGGGUGAUUAUAUUUCAUGAUUAUGUUGUUAACAAUUAUUAUAUUUUUAUUAAUUAGUGAGGAUUAGAGAAAAGAACCCCAGAUCUAAGUAAACUAAAGGGAAGUCCAGGGUCUCUGAUUCUUACUCUGAUGCUUAUUAACUGUAUGAACUAAGAAAUAACAGGAUAAUUUGAUAACGAAUUAUGGAUUUUAAAAAUAUAAUUCUGUUUUAAGUGUAGAAGAUGGACUGGCAAGGAAGAGAUGAAAAUAGAUUGGUUAGAAAACUAUUGCAAUAGUCUAAGCAAGGAUAAAACCCUUAACUAAGGCCAUAGUAAUGGAGAUGAAGAGAUGGUACAUGUGUAGAUCCUUGGGCCACAGUUAAUCUUCACAACUUGCCCCUUACUUCUAGUGGAAUUUAGACAGGCAUAGAUCCAAAUGGUGGUUUUACCAUUUACUAGUCAUAUGAUUUUAUGCUGCCCAUAAUUCAAUAUCAUCAAGCUUUGUUUUAUUCAUGCAAUAUAGAUAAAACAGUAUCUAUCUCAUUUAAACCAUUGCAAAAUUAAAUGGGAUAUUCUAGAUAAAGCUCCUUUUAUAGUGCCUGAAACAUAACAUGGACUUAAAUAAGAAAGGGUAAUUAUUCUUGAUUAUGAUAAAACUAUCAAGAUUCUGGAUGUAUUUUAGCCAAGGCAGAGUAAAAAGAGAACUGAGACAAGAGGCAGAAAAUUUACAUUUGAAUCAAAGUCUGCCACUAAAUAGUGGUUUGAUCUUAGGAAAGUAGAGCCUCCAUUUUCUAAUUUGUAAAAUGAAGGGCUUGUACUGCAUAGGUAGCUCUGAAGUUGAAGCGAUGC